rnacentral:rRNA from 1 species
GACGAACGCUGGCGGCGUGCCUAAUACAUGCAAGUCGAGCGCAGGAAAUCGACGGAACCCUUCGGGGGGAAGUCGAUGGAAUGAGCGGCGGACGGGUGAGUAACACGUAAAGAACCUGCCCUCAGGUCUGGGAUAACCACGAGAAAUCGGGGCUAAUACCGGAUGGGUCAUCGGACCGCAUGGUCCGAGGAUGAAAGGCGCUCCGGCGUCGCCUGGGGAUGGCUUUGCGGUGCAUUAGCUAGUUGGUGGGGUAACGGCCCACCAAGGCGACGAUGCAUAGCCGACCUGAGAGGGUGAUCGGCCACACUGGGACUGAGACACGGCCCAGACUCCUACGGGAGGCAGCAGUAGGGAAUCUUCCACAAUGGACGAAAGUCUGAUGGAGCAACGCCGCGUGAACGAUGAAGGCCUUCGGGUCGUAAAGUUCUGUUGUAAGGGAAGAACAAGUGCCGCAGGCAAUGGCGGCACCUUGACGGUACCUUGCGAGAAAGCCACGGCUAACUACGUGCCAGCAGCCGCCGUAAUAC